rnacentral:rRNA from 1 species
AUUGAACGCUGGCGGCAUGCCUUACACAUGCAAGUCGAACGGUAGAGGGGCAACCCCCGAGAGUGGCGAACGGGUGAGUAACGCAUCGGAACGUGCCCAGUAGUGGGGGAUAGCCCGGCGAAAGCCGGAUUAAUACCGCAUACGACCUACGGGUGAAAGCGGGGGAUCGCAAGACCUCGCGCUAUUGGAGCGGCCGAUGUCAGAUUAGGUAGUUGGUGGGGUAAAAGCCUACCAAGCCGACGAUCUGUAGCUGGUCUGAGAGGACGACCAGCCACACUGGGACUGAGACACGGCCCAGACUCCUACGGGAGGCAGCAGUGGGGAAUUUUGGACAAUGGACGCAAGUCUGAUCCAGCCAUGCCGCGUGCGGGAAGAAGGCCUUCGGGUUGUAAACCGCUUUUGUCAGGGAAGAAACGCUCUGAGCUAAUACCUCGGAGUAAUGACGGUACCUGAAGAAUAAGCACCGGCUAACUACGUGCCAGCCGCCGCGGUAACAC